rnacentral:rRNA from 1 species
UACGAAGGGGGCUAGCGUUGCUCGGAAUCACUGGGCGUAAAGCGCACGUAGGCGGCUUCUUAAGUCAGGGGUGAAAUCCUGGAGCUCAACUCCAGAACUGCCUUUGAUACUGAGAAGCUUGAGUCCGGGAGAGGUGAGUGGAACUGCGAGUGUAGAGGUGAAAUUCGUAGAUAUUGGGAGGAACACCGGUGGCGAAGGCGGCUCCCUGGUCCGAUACUGACGCUCAUGUGCGAAAGCGUGGGGAGCAAACAGG